rnacentral:rRNA from 1 species
AUGUCUCGCUUCCUCCUGCGCCGCUUCCUCUGCUCCUCUUCCUCCACCACUCCCGCAGCUGGCGCAGGUUUCAUCCGCGAGCUCGCCACCCUCCUCGCCGCUGGCCGCUUCUACGCCUCCGUCGACCUGGCGAAAUCACUCCUCCUCUCCUCCCAGCCACCAGCCACCUCCGUCCCCGACCUCUAUCACGCCCUUGUCUCCACCGCUGCCGCCUCCCUAUUCGACCCGCAUCCCCCAUCCUUCCUCUCCGACGCCGCCUCCGCGCUCGUCGUUGCCUCCGCUCGGCUUGGCCUCCCCGACGGCGCACUCCGGCUACUUUCCCUCCUCGCCGACGCCCGCGCAACUCUGCCGUCCCUAUCCUCCUGCAACCUCCUCCUUGAGUCCCUCCUCUCCCUCGGCCGCCACGCCGACGUGCGCCGGGCGUUCGACCUCCUAAAUGCCGCCGGGGCACGCCCCGACACCUUCACAUGGAACAAGGCCAUCCAGGCGUGCGUCGUGGCAGGUGAUGUCGACGAGGCUGUCCGGAUGCUUCGUCGGAUGGAUUGUGAAGGCCACGGCGCCCCAGCGCCCAACGCCUUCUCAUACAAUGUGGUCAUCGCUGGACUGUGGAGAGCAGGAAGGGGUAGUGACGCUGUUGAGGUGUUUGAUGAAAUGGGAGAGAGGGCUGUGUUGCCAAGUCAUAUCACGUACAAUACGAUGAUUGAUGGACACAUCAAGAUAGGGGACUUGGAGGCUGGUUUUAGGCUGCGGGAUCAGAUGUUGCAUCAUGGCCUGAAGCCGAAUAUGAUCACUUACAAUGUGCUGUUGUCAGGGCUGUGCCGUGCUGGCAGGAUAGGCGAGACGGCCACAGUGUUGCAUGAAAUGAUGUCACGAAAGAUGGUUCCGGACUGUUUCACAUAUAGCAUUCUGUUCGAUGGUUAUUCCAGAGUUGGAGACUCGCAGGCAAUGCUUUCCUUGUUUGAGGAGUCUGUGAAGAAGGGUGUGAAGAUUGGGGCUUAUACUUUUAGUAUUUUGCUGAAUGGUCUUUGCAACGAUGGCAAAAUUUCAAAGGCAGAAGAGGUACUGCAGACGUUUGUAAAUGCAGGACAACUCCCAACAAGGGUUAUCUACAACACUCUUAUCAAUGGGUAUUGUCAGAUUGGAGAGCUUGAAGGGGCCUUCUCAACCUUUCAGCAGAUGAAAUCACGCCUUGUUAGUCCAGAUCACAUCACCUAUAAUGCACUAAUAAACGGUUUGGGUAAGGCUGAAAGGAUCACAGAAGCACAUGCUUUGGUCACAGAGAUGGAGAAGAAUGGAGUGAGUCCUAGUGUGGAAACUUUCAAUACGCUUAUUGAUGCAUAUGGAAGGGAUGGGCAGCUUGAAAAAUGUUUCGUUCUACUUUCUGAUAUGCGAGAGAAGGGGCUAAAGCCAAAUGUGGUCUCCUAUGGUUCAAUUGUCAAUACCUUUUGCAAGAAUGGGAAAAUCCCGGAAGCAGUAGCUAUUUUGGAUGAUAUGUUCCAUAAAGAUGUUUUACCAGGUGCACAGGUGUACAAUGCGAUCAUAGAUGCAUAUAUAGACUGUGAUGCCACUGAACAGGCUUUUACUCUAGCUGAAAAGAUGAAGACUAGUGGGGUACCUCCAAGUAUAGUUACAUGCAAUUUGCUGAUAAAAGGCCUUUGCAAGCAGUCUCGGAUAUCUGAAGCAGAGGAACUAAUUCACAGCUUAAGAAAUCAUGGAUUAACUCCUGAUGUUGUCGGCUAUAAUACUCUAAUAUCAGCAUGCUGCUACAGGAGCAACACUGAUAGAGCUUUGGAGCUUCAGAAAGAAAUGUGCAAGUGUGGCAUCAAACCUUCAUCGAGAACAUAUUGUAUUCUUCUGAGUGCAUUGGGUGGUGCAAGAAGAAUACAUGAGAUGGAAAAUCUGUAUAAAGAAAUGUUGGACAAGGAUGUUGUUCCUUGCAGUCGCAUUUAUGAUAUCAUGGUUGAGGCCUAUGUGAAAUGUGGGGAUGAAUCUAAGGUAGAAGCUCUGAGGAAGGAUUUCUCGGAAAAAGGGACAUCAAUUGAUUAUGACACAUCCGUGACUUAG